AUUGAACGCUGGCGGCAGGCCUAACACAUGCAAGUCGAGCGAGUGGCGGACGGGUGAGUAAUGUCUGGGGAACUGCCCGAUAGAGGGGGAUAACUACUGGAAACGGUGGCUAAUACCGCCUACUAUCGGAUGAACCCAUAUGGGAUUAGCUAGUAGGUGGGGUAACGGCUCACCUAGGCGACGAUCCCUAGCUGGUCUGAGAGGAUGAACGGCCACACUGGAACGGGGACACGGCCCAGAAUCCUACGGGAGGCAGCAGUGGGGAAUAUUGCACAAUGGGCGCAAGCCUGAUGCAGCCAUGCCGCGGGUAUGAAUAAGGCCUUAGGGUUGUAAAGUACUUUCAGCGGGGAGGCGUUACCCGCAGAAGAAGCACCGGCUAACUCCGUGCCAGCAGCCGCGGUAAUUC
rnacentral:rRNA from 1 species